rnacentral:rRNA from 1 species
UCGAGGGGUAUAAGUCUUCGGAUUUAGAGACCGGCGCACGGGUGCGUAACGCGUAUGCAAUCUGCCUUACACUAAGGGAUAGCCCAGAGAAAUUUGGAUUAAUACCUUAUAGUAUAUGACUGGGACAUCCCUAACAUAUUAAAGUUCCAACGGUGUAAGAUGAGCAUGCGUCCCAUUAGCUUGUUGGUGUGGUAACGGCACACCAAGGCAAUGAUGGGUAGGGGUCCUGAGAGGGAGAUCCCCCACACUGGUACUGAGACACGGACCAGACUCCUACGGGAGGCAGCAGUGAGGAAUAUUGGUCAAUGGGCGCAAGCCUGAACCAGCCAUGCCGCGUGCAGGAUGACGCAUCUAUGGUGUGUAAACUGCUUUUGUACGGGAAGAAACCCUGCCACGUGUGGCAGAUUGACGGUACCGUAAGAAUAAGGAUCGGCUAACUCCGUGCCAGCAGCCGCGGUAAUACGGAGGAUCCAAGCGUUAUCCGGAAUCAUUGGGUUUAAAGGGUCCGUAGGCGGUUUUAUAAGUCAGUGGUGAAAUCCGGCAGCUCAACUGUCGAACUGCCAUUGAUACUGUAGGACUUGAAUUAUUGUGAAGUAACUAGAAUAUGUAGUGUAGCGGUGAAAUGCUUAGAUAUUACAUGGAAUACCCAUUGCGAAGGCAGGUUACU